CUAGUAGUAUGGAAUAGCCAUUAGAAAUGAUGGGUAAUACUGUAUAAUCCCUGAGGGGGAAAGAUUUAUCGCUAUUAGAUGAGCCUACGUUAGAUUAGCUAGUUGGUGAGGUAAUGGCUUACCAAGGCUAUGAUCUAUAGCUGGUCUGAGAGGACGAUCAGCCACACUGGAACUGAGAUACGGUCCAGACUCCUACGGGAGGCAGCAGUGGGGAAUAUUGGACAAUGGGCGAAAGCCUGAUCCAGCUAUGCCGCGUGAGUGAAGAAGGCCUUCGGGUUGUAAAGCUCUUUUAAUAGGGAAGAUAAUGACGGUACCUAUAGAAGAAGUCCCGGCAAACUCCGUGCCAGCAGCCGCGGUAAUACGGAGGGGGCAAGCGUUGUUCGGAAUUAUUGGGCGUAAAGGGCACGUAGGUGGACUAGUAAGUUAAAAGUGAAAUACCAAAGC
rnacentral:rRNA from 1 species